UCCUUCCUGUAGCAAAAAGAAAAUGAGAACAGAGUGAGAAAUAGCAGCUUGUCUCAUCGUUUUCUGCCUUCAAAGCCACAGCUGCCAACACUGUCCUUCUCCUCUCUGUGCCAGCUCCUCCUGGAUCACUGCAGCUGACUGAGCCCACUAUCUGCUUGGACAUUUCUCAGGAAGAAAACUGGACAUUUUUUCCCUUGUACUUCAAAAAUCUCAACAGAGGCUAUACUUGUCAAAAGCCUGGACCAGGCUCUGAGGAUCGGUUACAAGGACAUAUCCAGGAAAAAUACAUAUUCAUACAAGAUGCAACUUCAAAGAGUACUUCAGAAAAGCUUUUGCAGGAUUUGUAUUUUUCUAAAAGUUUUUUCUGUGGACCUCUCUUUCAAUUUUUCUGCAUAUCUUUAAUACCAACACUACUAGAGCUCUUUACCAAAAGAUGUUAAAAUUUCUUUAGAGACCUCCUGCUGUUUGUUAAUUCAGUAGCUAUACCACUGAGCAGUUCUUGCAGUCACCACAUUAGGAGCCAUCAGCUGUUGUAAGCAUAAAACCUCAAUUGCCUUUCCUCUGCAAUACGUAUAAGCCCAUGACCCAACACUACAUUGCAGCUCCUGGAGUCACCCGUGGAAAAUUUGCUUCUUUUCUAUGAGAAGAUGAGUGCCAAUUACAAUAGUUUGCUGUCUAUUUUGCCAGUUCCAUUUUGUUCCCCUAUCCCUCAUUUUAAUCCCCUUCUUAGUAAAUCAGAGAUACACUGCUUUACUCUGGGAUGUUUCUAUCUAAUUCCAUCUAAUAUUGGAUUUUGGCUUUGAUGCCUUCAGUGUAUACACAUGCACAUAUUCCAUUAGGACAGGAGCAUGCCAAGCAGUAAACUGGAUAUAAUCUAGCUCCGAUCUUGAAGCUAAAAAUAAACAAAUUAUUUUACUCUCAUUUAUCAGUUCAUGUUCUGCUGUUUAAUUGAGAGCUAUGGCUAUUCUAGUUUUUUUAACACAUUUUAUUGACUGCAAUCCACUAAACCUUCUCCCCCCUCAUCAGCAAACACAGACAAGCUCCCUUGUGGUUACACACUGUGUUGUUGUCACAGGCUUUUUUCAGUUGUUUCACUUUACAAGAUCACUCGUCCCUAGUAAUACAUAUAUAAUUCACAUAUAAGUGAAAUAGUUCCCCAAAAGCCAUUCAUCCCCAGAGGAAACUGCUCUUUAAUUGUUUGUUAUGCCCUCUCAGCAAGGAGGCUGACUUACACCAUACACGUGCAUCAUUUUAUUUAAAUGACAUCCUACCUUACUACGAAAGCUGCCAGAACUAUUUGAUCUUCCUCCACUAAGGCUGCCAACUACAGAAAGCCCCCUGAGAACAAAGCGGCAGAUGAAAAAGAAGUGCUGAUGCUUCAGGCAAUUCUUUUAGCCAGAGCUCUACCAGCAGCAACAUGCAGCAGGAAAAAAUACAUGCUUCAAAGGAUUGCAUUCUUUUCUGGGGAGACUCAUUCCUUCACAUUCAACUUCAUCCUGAAGAGGAAAACCUAUUUCUGUGCAACCACUCAAUGUAGGACUCCUGGACACCAUAUAUCCCGCUGCUCAUUGCAGAAUCAUUGUAUGGAAUAAAAAGUACUGGUCUAAAUACCAGAUCUGAGGAACUUUUCUUAAAAAACUGUGACACUUCACAGCAAGGUAUUAACAGUGAUGUUGUCAGCUGUCCUAUAGAUGAGCCAGCCAGCAAUGCAGGUGCCUGGGGUUGCAUAGCCCCCAUCCAAGGCUAUGGAGUUCCUGUUUGUUAGCUAGCUUUUACAUUCUUACUUCCAAACAGAAACUACACACCCACAUUUCGACACAAAGUGAGAUCUUCCAAAAGGCACAACAUGAGGAGAUGAAGUACUCUCUCAGGUUAAGAAGUAGCACAGAGAAGUAGCAAAAUUGCUAUCCUAUUUUGAUUAAAUUAUAAAUGUCAAGCAUUAAAACACUAAUAUGGUGUUAAAACACAACAAAGGUGUUUUGUAAGGAUGCUCAUCAGACUUUCAAAGUAUGAAGUGCCCCCGGAAUGUAGGAUAGUAAGGAGGGUGUUACUUAUUUUUACUGCUUCUCUUAUGGGUUCUCUAGAUGUUACUUUCAUUACCCCACAAGUUGUAGAGGAAAAAGUAGUCAUCACUUUCUGGGCAUAAGUCUGAAGGAUCCCAGAAAAGAAUGUGCCAAACUGCAACUCAGUCCAAAUAUUUAUAUAUUCAGGAAAUGUUACUCUUCAGAUGCAUACUACAGGGUCUGUAUGGAUGCUUUCUUUGGCAGCAUUGUGUUGCAUACUGUUAUUUCUCAUUAGCAACAACUGCAGUCUAGCUCAGGAAAACUGUAAAUACAUUUUACAUUAGGCAUUUUGUUCCUCAAUUAUUCACAUCUUCCUAAUAAAGCUUCCUGCUGUGGAAACUGUUGGACAGGAAUAUGUCCAAGAAAAGAGAAGGUGAUCUUGAAUUAUUUUCCAUACAAAAAGAAGUACUAUAUGUAACUGUAGCUAUAAUGAACAAUGAUGAUUUAAAAAUAAUAUUAUGCCAUAUAUUUGAAUGAUAAUUUGCUCUUGUGAGUGAGACAGUGCAAUGAGGCUGAAAGUUUAGACUUUUGAAAAGGUUUUACAAAUACUCCAUUUUUUACUACACUAAUACUGACAAAUAAAGCUGGUGACCAUUAAUGUCAAUUCUGUUACUUAUUUAUUUAGUUGUUGAAUUUUUACCAGAAGUAUUUAGUCACUUGUGAUUAUGGGCAGACUGGAAGUCAAUAAGUUUAAAUUCCUUUAAUUUUCCACAUUCCUAUCCUAACUCACGCUUUUGACCACUUCUAAUCUCUAACAACCUACUGGUUUAAUUACUUUAGUCUCUCAUAUUUCAGCUUAGAAACACAUAUUUAAGCUAAAUAAAAGACCUCUGAGGAAUUACUUCAAUAGGGUUGACUUUCUCAUUUUUUCUUGAUCACAGUAUCAUGUUAUAUGACAUCUUAUCUGCAACAGGCUUCCCAAUUUAUUUGUUACGCAGAGAUAAAGAUAGUCAUUAUUAAUACAUUAGCAUAGUCUUACUGCUAUGAUCUUCUACGGGAAUGUCUAUGACCAUCAACUGAAGACCUACUGGUUUGUCAAAUGAAUGCCCCUUACACCCUCCUCUCACACCCCCACUCCCCAAACCCAUCAGCUUUUUUUUCUUUUUCCAUGUCUUCUCUCCUAAACCACUGGGGGAAAAAAAGAAAAAAAAAAAAAAAAAAAAAAAUAGAAAAAAAAAAGAAAAAGAAAACUUUACGCCCCUUAUAUGCCACACCUCACACAAUAACUUUGGGGUGAAGAAUAUCUAUAAUAAACCUCAAGAUUCCUUGGUAAUGCUGUAAUGGAAACUAACAAUGAUGAUUUAGAUUAAUAUAAUUAACUGGAAUUUCUUCUCUCAACAUAUGUUAUCAGCAGAUUUGAAAUUUUUAGUUAUCGUAAUUCUUGCCAAAUAGCACCAAUCUCCAUUUUUCCAGCAUUCAAAGCCAUAACCCUAUUUUCUUUAGCUGAGACGACAGACUUUAUAAGCAAUGUAAUUUUAUUAAGUUUGUUGUUAAAAAUUAAUGUGGAAAUUAAGAAAGGUUUAAGCAGUGGGUUUUAAGGUUUAUUUUUCGUUAUGUCUGUUUUAAUAAACCUGUAUUAAUAUUCCGUGAAAAAAGAAAUCUACAGCAUCACUAAUAAAACCUUUUAAGUGGUAAUCCUUCAGAAUCCUUCCUUGUAAUGGUAGAACAUUU